AUGAACCUUUUUUGCUCAAGCACAACCAUAACUUUGGGAGAUGGCCGCAAGGCACUUUUCUGGCAUGACAACUGGAGUGGAAGGGGCCCUCUAACGCUACUUGCGCCGGAGCUUUACAAAAUAGCUUCAAAGAAAAAUAGGACCGUGCAUCAGGAGUUCACAAAUGAUAACUGGAUCAGAGCAGUCGCUAGCCUUCGAUCCCUGCAACAACUGGGGGAAUUUGUUACUCUAUGGGGAUGGAUUAGCCAGACAGUUCUGCUGCCAGAUCAGGAUGACACAAUCUCCUGGAACCUGACCACUAAUGGAGCCUACUCUUCCGCAUCGGCCUAUGCGGCGCAGUUCUUUGGCCCACACCCAAGAUGUGACUCUUCAAAGGUCUGGUCUGCUUACGCUGAGCCCAAGUGCAAAUUCUUUGCGUGGCUAGUCCUGCAUGGUAGAAUCCUCACCGCAGAUAUGUUGGCUAUUCACAGCUGGCCACAUGACCCAAGGUGUCAGCUAUGUCUUCAGCAGCCAGAAACGGCAACCCAUCUUCGCAAGGACUGUCCCUACGCGGUCACUGUUUGGAACCAAGUAAACACCUGGACAAACGAGGGUCUCGCCAUCUCAGGUUUCUUGCCUGAGCCAUGCAUUGUUUCUGACUGGUGGGACAAUAUGCUAGUAGAUGAGCCAUCCCAAGUGCGGAGACGGAGGAGCGGUAGGAUCAUCUACACAAUUUGGGCUAUCUGGAAAGAGAGGAACAGACGCGUUUUCACAGGUCAACGGAUGACUCAUCGCGAGGUUGCUCUACUAGCUUUCGAGGCCAUUAAGCAACGGGAUAUGGCUUUCGUUGGGGCCUUGCCAUCUGUCGGCAUAGGCUGA
rnacentral:rRNA from 1 species